rnacentral:rRNA from 1 species
AUUGAACGCUGGCGGCAGGCCUAACACAUGCAAGUCGAGCGGAUGAAGGGAGCUUGCUCCUGGAUUCAGCGGCGGACGGGUGAGUAAUGCCUAGGAAUCUGCCUGGUAGUGGGGGAUAACGUCCGGAAACGGGCGCUAAUACCGCAUACGUCCUGAGGGAGAAAGUGGGGGAUCUUCGGACCUCACGCUAUCAGAUGAGCCUAGGUCGGAUUAGCUAGUUGGUGGGGUAAAGGCCUACCAAGCCGACGAUCCGUAACUGGUCUGAGAGGAUGAUCAGUCACACUGGAACUGAGACACGGUCCAGACUCCUACGGGAGGCAGCAGUGGGGAAUAUUGGACAAUGGGCGAAAGCCUGAUCCAGCCAGGCCGCGUGUGUGAAGAAGGUCUUCGGAUUGUAAAGCACUUUAAGUUGGGAGGAAGGGCAGUAAGGUAAUACCUUGCUGUUUUGACGUUACCAACAGAAUAAGCACCGGCUAACUUCGUG